rnacentral:rRNA from 1 species
GAUGAACGCUGGCGGCGUGCCUAAUACAUGCAAGUCGAGCGAAUGGAUUAAGAGCUUGCUCUUAUGAAGUUAGCGGCGGACGGGUGAGUAACACGUGGGUGACCUGCCCAUAAGACUGGGAUAACUCCGGGAAACCGGGGCUAAUACCGGAUAACAUUUUGAACCGCAUGGUUCGAAAUUGAAAGGCGGCUUCGGCUGUCACUUAUGGAUGGACCCGCGUCGCAUUAGCUAGUUGGUGAGGUAACGGCUCACCAAGGCAACGAUGCGUAGCCGACCUGAGGGGGUGAUCGGCCACACUGGGACUGAGACACGGCCCAGACUCCUACGGGAGGAAGCAGUAGGGAAUCUUCCGCAAUGGACGAAAGUCUGACGGAGCAACGCCGCGUGAGUGAUGAAGGCUUUCGGGUCGUAAAACUCUGUUGUUAGGGAAGAACAAGUGCUAGUUGAAUAAGCUGGCACCUUGACGGUACCUAACCAGAAAGCCACGGCUAACUACGUGCCAGCCGCCGCCGUAA